GUGGCUUGGUGGUAGAGCAUCCGCUUUGCACACAGAAGGUCCCAGGUUCAAUCCCAGAGGAACCCA